GCCCCUGAGGUCUGAGACCUCCGACUUUGUAUUUUUAUUUUACCGCAAUUUUUCUUUUCCUUUUUGUCUUCAAGAAUCAUCCAAUCAAUAAAGUUGAAUUUCUUGUCGUGGGUGGCCUCUCCCUCCUUCCUUUCUUCUCUCUGCUUUUCUUUCUGCGAUGAGGUGUGUCUUGAUGCUUUUGCCUUCCGAUGGCAGUGCCCUGCUGAAGCACUUCCCCCGCCCCUGGAGAUUCUGCUGAAGUCGACGAUCCAGCGGCUGAAGAAGGAAGUCCUCCACUUGACAAAAAGGUCAA
rnacentral:lncRNA from 1 species